rnacentral:rRNA from 1 species
UACGGAGGGGGGCUAGCGUUGUUCGGAAUUUACUGGGCGUAAAGGGCUCGUAGGCGGCCAACUAAGUCGGAUGUGAAAUCCCCAGGCCUAACCUGGGAACUGCAUCCGAUACUGGAUGGCUUGAAUCCGGGGAGAGGGAUGCGGAAUUCCAGGGUGUAGCGGUGAAAUGCGUAGAUAUCUGGAGGAACACCGGUGGCGAAGGCGGCAUCCUGGGACCGGCAUUGACGCUGAGGAGCGAAAGCCAGGGGAGCAAACGGGG